GCCAGAGCAGAGGUGUCUACGCGCCAAGGUGGGGCUGGACACCGGGCCUUGGGGUCCCAGAAAACUCAACACAGACCUAGGGAGCACUCCACCCGGGAUGCAGGGUGAUGCUUAACAGGCGGCGGGCGGAUCCAGACGGAGUUUCAGUUGGAUGCGAACGUUCACCCCAGCCACGGGAACCACUUGGAGCAAGUGUGUUGACAUUCAGUGGUGUGGCUGUGGACUUCUCACAGGAAGAGAGGGAGUGCCUAGAUCCUGCUCAGAGGGCUUUGUAAAGAGACCUGACGGUGGGGAAUUACAGCUCUCUUGGUUUUUGUUGGUGAAGUGGAUUUUCAGUGAACUGAAAGGAAGUUUGUGGUAAGAAAGAGAAGACUGUUUAU